rnacentral:rRNA from 1 species
CCGUAGGUGAACCUGCGGAAGGAUCAUUAACAGGAUGGACCCGGCUCGCCGGUGCUCUGCCUACCUUGCAUAAUCUACCUUUGUUGCUUUGGCGGGGCGCCUCACGGCCAGCGGCUCCGGCUGCUGCGCCCCCGCCAGAGGACCACAACUCUUGUUUUUAGUGACGUCUGAGUACUAUAUAAUAGUUAAAACUUUCAACAACGGAUCUCUUGGUUCUGGCAUCGAUGAAGAACGCAGCGAAAUGCGAUAAGUAAUGUGAAUUGCAGAAUUUAGUGAAUCAUCGAAUCUUUGAACGCACAUUGCGCCCUUUGGUAUUCCGAAGGGCAUGCCUGUUCGAGCGUCAUUACAACCACUCAAGCCUUUGCUUGGUCUUGGGGCUCGCGGUCUCGCGGCCCCUAAAAUCAGUGGCGGUGCCGGUCGGCUCUACGCGUAGUAAUACUCCUCGCGACAGGGUCCGGACGGUGUCUUGCCAGCAACCCCUAAUUAUUUUCAGGUUGACCUCGGAUCAGGUAGGGAUACCCGCUGAACUUAAGCAUAUCAAUAAGCGGAGGA